rnacentral:misc_RNA from 1 species
UACCUUGCAAUUUUGUAUG